rnacentral:rRNA from 1 species
AUUGAACGCUGGCGGCAUGCCUUACACAUGCAAGUCGAACGGUAACGGGCCUUCCUUUGCCGACUAAUGUCGCACGGGUGCGUAAUACAUCGGAACGUGCCCCAUCCUUGUGGAUAACGAGGCGAAAGCUUUUCUAAUACCUCAUACGAUCUACGGAUUAAAGCAGGGGGCCUCAAGGCCUUGCGCGGACUUUGCUGUCGCUGGCAGAUUAGUUAGUUGGUGGUAUAAAAGCUUACCAAGCCGACGAUCAGUAGCGGGUCUGAGAGGAUGAUCAGCCACACUGGAACUGAGACACGGCCCAGACUCCUACGGGAGGCAGCAGUGGGGAAUUUUGGACAAUGGGCGAAAGCCUGAUCCAGCAAUGCCGCGUGAAGGAUGAAGGCCUUCGGGUUGUAAACUGCUUUUGUAAGGAAAGAAAAGCCUUCUUUUAAUACAGGAGGGUCAUGACGGUACCGUAAGAAUAAGCACCGGCUAACUACGUG